GCCAGGCGCGGUGGCUCACGCCUGUAAUCCUAGCACUUUGGGAGGCUGAGGUGGGCGGAUCACCUGAGGUCAGGAGUUCGAGACCAGCCUGGCCAACAUGGUGAAACCCCAUCUCUA
rnacentral:SRP_RNA from 2 species